UAGGGAAUAUUGGGCAAUGGAUGCAAGUCUGACCCAGCCAUGCCGCGUGGAGGAAGAAGGUCCUCUGGAUUGUAAACUCCUUUUGUCGGGGAAGAAGAGACACCUUGCGAGGUGUUGUGACGGUACCCGGUGAAUAAGCCACGGCUAACUACGUGCCAGCAGCCGCGGUAAUACGUAGGUGGCAAGCGUUGUCCGGAUUUAUUGGGUUUAAAGGGUGCGUAGGUGGUUUGAUAAGUCAGUGGUGAAAGCUGGUUGCUCAACAAUCAAGUUGCCAUUGAUACUGUCGGACUUGAGAGAAGUGGAGGUUCAUGGAAUGGAUGGUGUAGCGGUGAAAUGCAUAGAUAUCAUCCAGAACGUCGAUUGCGAAGGCAGUGGGCUGUACUUUUUCUGACACUGAGGCACGAAAGCGUGGGGAUCAAACAGG
rnacentral:rRNA from 1 species